GACGAACGCUGGCGGCGUGCUUAACACAUGCAAGUCGAGCGGUAAGGCCCUUUCGGGGUACGACGAGCGGCGAACGGGUGAGUAACACGUGGGUGACCUGCCCUCAGCUCUGGGAGUAAGCCGUGGGAAACCGGGGUACUAAUACUGGAUAUGACUCCAUGACGGCAUGUUGUGGGGUGGAAAGCCUUGUGCGGCUGAGGAUGGGCCCGCGGCCUAUCAGCUUGUUGGUGGGGUGAGGCCUACCAAGGCGACGACGGGUAGCCGGCCUGAGAGGGCGACCGGCCACACUGGGACUGAGACACGG
rnacentral:rRNA from 1 species